UUUGGUGAUCCGCGCAACUGAAAGGUACGAACCGUGUCAGAUCCGAAAGGAAGCAGCACUAAGUAUUGGAAGGUGUGUGCGGAUCACUUUCGCC
rnacentral:SRP_RNA from 1 species